UACGAAGGGGGCUAGCGUUGCUCGGAAUCACUGGGCGUAAAGCGCACGUAGGCGGCUUUCUAAGUCAGGGGUGAAAUCCUGGAGCUCAACUCCAGAACUGCCUUUGAUACUGGAAAGCUUGAGUUCGGGAGAGGUGAGUGGAACUGCGAGUGUAGAGGUGAAAUUCGUAGAUAUUCGCAAGAACACCAGUGGCGAAGGCGGCUCACUGGCCCGAUACUGACGCUGAGGUGCGAAAGCUAGGGGAGCAAACGGGG
rnacentral:rRNA from 1 species